GUCCAACUGCAAAGGAGUUCGCCGCAUGCCUGGCACAUGUCUUUUCUAGGGAGGUGGAGUCAUCUUCACUGUGGAGCCCAAGCCAUUUGCUGACCAUUGUGGCACAGAGGAAAGGGACAAGGGGAACCCUGGCUCUUAAAGCUUCUGCUUCCAUUUGCCAAAGUGGAAAAAUGAAGCACAGAUGAAGGAACUCCUAGAGUCACACACCUGCAGUGAGGCUGCCAUUCAGUUAUGUUUGCUCUCUGUGUCUGGACCCUUCACCAGCUGUGUGGAUCCAUGAUGGACAAGAUGAAGCCAAUUGUUCAUCAAACACAACAGAAGUAAGGCCAAAGUGAUGACAGAAAGACAGUGAUGGAGAGGUGAUGGCUGGAAGAAUGGGGGGUAAUUUUUGAAGUGGGUCAGUAUCCUAUCUGUGAACUGUGGUUGGG
rnacentral:lncRNA from 1 species